rnacentral:rRNA from 1 species
AGUGAACGCUGGCGGUAGGCCUAACACAUGCAAGUCGAACGGCAGCACAGUAAGAGCUUGCUCUUACGGGUGGCGAGUGGCGGACGGGUGAGGAAUACAUCGGAAUCUACUUUUUCGUGGGGAUAACGUAGGGAAACUUACGCUAAUACCGCAUACGACCUACGGGUGAAAGCAGGGGAUCUUCGGACCUUGCGCGAUUGAAUGAGCCGAUGUCGGAUUAGCUAGUUGGCGGGGUAAAGGCCCACCAAGGCGACGAUCCGUAGCUGGUCUGAGAGGAUGAUCAGCCACACUGGAACUGAGACACGGUCCAGACUCCGACGGGAGGCAGCAGUGGGGAAUAUUGGACAAUGGGCGCAAGCCUGAUCCAGCCAUACCGCGUGGGUGAAGAAGGCCUUCGGGUUGUAAAGCCCUUUUGUUGGGAAAGAAAAGCAGCAGGUUAAUACCCCGCUGUUCUGACGGUACCCAAAGAAUAAGCACCGGCUAACUUCGUG